UGAUAACUGCUGUUCAAAGAAGCUUCUCUUAGCGUUAACAAAAAUAUCUCUGAUCUAAUCCUAUGUCUCCAAAGAUGAAAACUCCAGUAUCACCUCUUGUACACUAGUUGAAACACCCUUUCCAGCAAACUGUUUAAUGAAGGUGAGAAAAAGAUUUCUUGCCGUCACUGUAUGAUAUCCCUCAAGAAUGAGACAGCUUGAUAAUAUUAGUAGCACAUUGAAAAACCUCAGUAACAUUUUGUUCUCUAUUAUAAUACACAUUGACUUUUAUACAAAUAUUUUUUGUUUUGUUGUAAUAGCACUUGAGAAAGAGAAACAUAUUUGACACGAAUACAGGCAGGGAUAAAAUGUAAAUAAUAUGUGUAUCGGUAGGAUGUAAUUAGCUAUAUUAGUUGUGAAAUUAUUAUUAGUGGUUUUUAUGCAAUUUGUAAUCAAAGUUGGUAUGUAUCUGUCCAUAACCUUACAGAGUGGAAUUAUGGACAUUUGUAGUAUGUUGUAAAUUAAUGCACUGUAAAUAUUGUAAUUUGAAGGACUAGUUUAGCAAGGAUACAGAAAUAAUAAAAUGUUGUGGCCAAUUUUAGCCGAUUUAUUGAUCUAUGGCCAAGUUAGCAAUCAUACAAAGUAAUCAGGUUACUCAAUCCCGCUAAACUUCCUUCCUCAAAGUAUGAAUACCCGAUUAGACUACCUUCUUCAGGGACUCACAUUUAGGACCAAGGUUAAUAGGGACAACUCGGGGGCAAUUCCAUUUGACUUUCUCCAGUGUAAUUUACAAAGCAACCAUUUAAUUGAGUAUGGGUGUAUCACAGAGCUUCAAGGCAAUGAAAAUAACAAUAAUGGCAGUUUAAAUAGCACAGGAGGUGUAAAAAUGUACUAAGGUUUGCCCAAGGAGUAUGUAUAUUUUUCUCUUCAAUUAAAAUUGGUAUUAUCCUUCCCUUUACAUGACUCUGUUGUUGAAAAUAAAACGUAUAAAAUAUGCUUUUUCUGGUAGGCAUUAUGAAUUUUAUUUUUAUGGAUAUAUUUAUUAAAUUGAGGAUUUAUUAGAUGAGAAUUCAUCAUUUCUGUGGUUGAUUCACAACUGUUUGUAGCUGAGCUUACCAAAGAUUUUUUUUUUUUGAAGUCUUAAAAUAUGUGAUCUGAAUUGUUGUAUUUCUAAGUUAAUAUAUUCCAAUAAAUUAUUCAACAUUUUUUUCAUACAA